AGAGUUUGAUCCUGGCUCAGAUUGAACGCUGGCGGCAUGCUUUACACAUGCAAGUCGAGCGGCAGCACAGGGAGCUUGCUCCCGGGUGGCGAGUGGCGCACGGGUGAGUAAUACAUCGGAACGUGUCCUGUUNUGGGGGGAUAACUGCUCGAAAGGGUGGCUAAUACCGCAUGAGACCUGAGGGUGAAAGCGGGGGAUCGUAAGACCUCGCGCAAUUGGAGCGGCCGAUGCCCGAUUAGCUAGUUGGUGAGGUAAAGGCUCACCAAGGCGACGAUCGGUAGCUGGUCUGAGAGGACGACCAGCCACACUGGGACUGAGACACGGCCCAGACUCCUACGGGAGGCAGCA
rnacentral:rRNA from 1 species